rnacentral:rRNA from 1 species
GUGCCAGCAGCCGCGGUAAAACGUAGGAGGCAAGCGUUAUCCGGAGUUACUGGGCGUAAAGCGUGCGUAGGCGGGUUGGUAAGUGGGUGGUGAAAGCGCUCGGCUAAACCGGGCGAGUGCCAUCCAGACUGCCAGUCUAGAGGCGGAUAGAGGGGUGCGGAAUUCCGGGUGUAGCGGUGAAAUGUGUAGAGAUCCGGAGGAACACCAGUGGUGCAAACGGCGCCCUGGGUCCGAACUGACGCUGAUGCACGAAAGCGUGGGGAGCGAACGGGAUUAGAUACCCCGGUAGUCC